ACAGACAACCAUUAUGAGAAUGAUCGACCAGAACUACUGACAAAUGUACUGUGUCAGAUAUAAAGGUAUGUGGUUGUGACUGAGAAACUCUCUUUUGUGACAGCUGAAUCAUUUUAGCAGCAAAGUGUUCUCCCAGUUGCAAAAAGUGUUUCCAUGGCGACUCGGAUACAGCAGUUGGCUCAACCCAAACCGAACCGACUAAGAUAUCCAGACCGUCGGUCUGUUUACUGGCUGGAUAAGCUUCCACCAGAAAGGAGCGGAUUAACCACUAAAAUUGGUCUGUUUCCCAAUCUUUUCCUUUUUUCUUCUCUUGGCAAACUUGAUCUUUGCUGCCUUUUUGUAACACCGUGCAUAAUUGUUAUUUUGUUUUCAACAGAGUUAACCCCCUGCUGGUCAGACUUGUGCAUAAGUAAAAAGUUCUACAAUCAAGUCACGUAAAUAUAAUAGACUUCUAACUAGAAAGCGAAAAUUUCAGAAGAAAUUUUAUGUGUGCCUAUGCCGCUGCUAAUCACUGUAGUUUGCCAUUCAUACGGCUACAGAGAGCAAAACUCAGAAGAGCAGCCAUUCUCCACCAUGAACUAUG
ensembl:lncRNA